GAUGAACGCUGGCGGCGUGCUUAACACAUGCAAGUCGAACGAGAAGUGAAGACGGAAACCUUCGGGCGGAAGGCUUUAUUUCGAGUGGCGGACGGGUGAGUAACGCGUGGGUAACCUGCCUCAUACAGGGGGAUAACAGUUGGAAACGACUGUUAAUACCGCAUAAGACCACAGCACCGCAUGGUGCGGGGGUAAAAACUCCGGUGGUAUGAGAUGGACCCGCGUUCGAUUAGCCAGUUGGCGGGGUAACGGCCCACCAAAGCGACGAUCGAUAGCUGAUCUGAGAGGAUGACCGGCCACAUUGGGACUGAGACACGGCCCAAACUCCUACGGGAGGCAGCAGUGGGGAAUAUUGCACAAUGGGGGAAACCCUGAUGCAGCGACGCCGCGUGAGUGAAGAAGUAUUUCGGUAUGUAAAGCUCUAUCAGCAGGGAAGAAAAUGACGGUACCUGAGUAAGAAGCCCCGGCUAACUACGUG
rnacentral:rRNA from 1 species